UCAGCUUUUGCAUUGGACUCUGGGGAAACAUGGCGUCUCUCUCACAUGAAAACUGCAGAUGAAAACUCUGUUAAGCUUCACAUCUUCAAGCUGGGGGAAGAAGAGUCUAAUGAAGAUCACAUAAACCUCAUCAAAACCUCAGUGGAAGAUACUCUGAAACUGAUUGAAUAUAUCAUCGAGUUGGAGAAGACGAGAGUUGAUCUCAAAAUUUGUGUCAGAAGGAACACCCAACUCUGCAAGCUACCCCUCGAGAACUUUACACUUACUGGGCAAUCCUCGCUCUUCUUGCCUGUGCCAAUCAAAAGUUUGAACUGGACUGGAACAUGAGAUCGGAAGUUUUCAAAAUGCUCAAGUUUGCUGUCACAUGUGUGAAUGGAGAUUUGACUAGGUUCAAAGAAGAAAUAGCUUCAACAAGAGAUCUGACUUGGUGAUUGGAGGUGAUUUACUCUCCUUCUAGAAUUUUGCAGCUCUUGAAGGCUCUUAUCUUCCAUGAGAACACUCAAGUUCAACAACUUGAAAUAUUUGAGUAUACUUCUG